ensembl:lncRNA
GUGAUGUCGCAUUUCAUCAGUUUUACUGCUGACAGAGAACUUGACCUCUUGCAUUGAAAUGACAAGCAUUUCCCUUGAAAAGUCAGUAAUCUAUCAUUCAUUUACCUGAUGAUUUUAGCAUUUCCUGUUCUUUGUGUACAGUUGGGAGAAAUGACCACGUUGCUCCCUGGUUCCACAAAACCAAGUUGUAGUAAGUGAUACAGUGCCCUUGAGGGUUUUGAGGAUUCUGGUAAAUAAUGAACGUCGUCUACUCUUAAGUGACAGAGGCAAAAUCUCGAAUUCGGGGCUGUCAGAAGUCCGCAGCGUAUACUCGGACCAUCUGUUCUCUGUUCCCUGUUUUGGGAUCUGUUUCCCUUCAUUAUUUAUUAGUACUGGUCGUGACAGUCCUUGUUAAACUUCACUCUGUCAUUUUUAAAACCUGGUAGAAAUUCUAGUUGUCCAAAAGAUUUUGAGCACGUUCUAUUCAUUGGACUCAUGUAACUGCUGCAACCCUUUAAAACAUUUCUAAUGACAGUUUAAUAGAGUGGGUGUUAAAGAACAUCUCUGUUAGAAUUAAAGAGGCUAGCAUUGGGCAUGACUUUCUCAGGGAGGGUACUGAGCGGUAUUUUGUAAGAUGCUGGGUGACUCCCGGGAUAAGGAGACCAGGUCAUGGCCCCAGUGGUGUGGUUAUAAUUUGAGAACAAGUCAGUCCAGAGCUUGUGCUCUGAACUACAAAGGUUCAUGUCCAUUUACUUAUCCUUGUUACUUGCCUUAGAAUUGAAAGAAAUUACAUUGAACGUAACAGCUUUCCAUCUGUUCAUUUCCACCUCCACUGGCAAUGAACUUGACUGCUUGUGAUCUCGGUAAAGGUUUCGGUAGCCAGCUGAGGUGUCAGUUCUGUCUCCCAAGCAGGCUGUAUGUGAUGGUGAUGAGGGUCACAGUGGUGUCUUCAGCAUCACAGACUUCGUGUUUUCACACUUGGGUUUCUGCUCUUGUGCUUGUGGAAACAUGCCUUCCUAGGCGGGCCUGAGGUGACC